rnacentral:tRNA from 1 species
UCCCCGGCUGCCCAGUGGUUAGGACUCUGUGCUUCCAACGCAGCGGGCACAGGUUCAAUCCCUGGUUGGGGAA